GGGACCGCACCCGCCCCCAUUAAUGAACAUUUUAAUUAACGCCGCAGACGCUGCUGCGCACCGAAACAGGCCCUGUCGGGCCGGAGGGGCUCGAACUGGGCCCCAGCUUACCCUCGGCUCCUCGCAAUCCACAAGUCUCCAGUUUUUGAAGUCAGAACUUGUACUCUGAAACCCAUCUCUUCUUAUGCCACAGGAAAUCCUCCAUUGGAAUACCCUCUCCCUUAGGAAGCUCUGGCUAAAGUUACAAACCUCUUCAUACUCAGAGUACAAUAUACAGGACAAAAGGAAGUUAUCAAUAAAUCAACUAUCCUUCAAGACAAAAAAAUGUUACGGUUCAAAACCAGAAAACUCUGUGCAUACCAUGCUGUGAUCCACACGGAAAAAGGCCAGCUGGCAUGGCUUGUUUAGAAGGUUAGCAAAGGCAAUGAAAGCAUCUGCCUCUUCCAGAUUGAGAAUGAGCACAGCAGCAAUGAAGGACAUCCCUUGUACCUUCAAGUGGGAAAAGCAUCAGGCAAACAUAGGUGAGUAGGUUCAGUACAUCUUAUAUCUUUGGAAAUGGAAACAUUUACAGUCUGCAAUACAAACACCAUUGCAUAACAU